rnacentral:rRNA from 1 species
ACUUUGCAAUGCGGGAAACCGCGACAAGGGAACUCCAAGUGCCUAUGCAAAGCAUAGGCUGUUCAACUGCCUAAAAAGCAGUUGGAGUAAGAGCUGGGUAAGUCCGGUGCCAGCCGCCGCGGUAAUACCGGCAGCUCGAGUGGUGGCCAUUAUUAUUGGGUCUAAAGCGUCCGUAGCCGGUCCUUCAAAUCCCUGGGUAAAUCGGGCAGCUCAACUGUCCGAAUUCCGGGGAGACUGUAGGGACUAGGGACCGGGAGAGGUCGGAGGUACUCCGUGGGGUAGGGGUGAAAUCCUAUAAUCCCGAGGGGGACCACCGGUGGCGAAGGCGUCCGACUAGAACGG